AAGGAAGAGAAUUUUACAGUACAGGG
rnacentral:piRNA from 1 species